CGCCACCGAUCCUACAGCCUGCCCAAUACCGGGGCAUGGCACCAACCCCAUAGCCCAAGGUUCUCCUGACGU
rnacentral:sRNA from 1 species